ACUCAAAUGAAUUGACGGGGACUUGCACAAGCGGUGGAUUAUGCGGUUCAAUUCGAUGGUAAACGAAAAACCUUACCAAGGCUAGAAAUUCUGUCUUCAUAUCGACCCAGAAACGGGUUGGUCGCGCAAGCACGGACAGAACAGGUGAUGCAUGGCCGUCGUCAGUUCGUGGUUUAAGCUGUUCCCUUAAGUGGGGUAACGAACGCAACCCUCGUUGGCUGUUACAAGUGUCAGCCGAGACUGCUCAGCUUUUUGUUCAGAAAUCCAAAAAUUUGUGAAUAGGAAGCUGAGAGGAAGUGAGGAUGACGCCAGGUCAGCAUGUCCCUCUGACGCCUUGGGCUACACGCAUAAUACAAUGGCCGGUACAACAGGUCGCGACGACGUAAGUCUGAGCCAAUCCUUAGAAAACCGGCCCCAGUUCGGAUUGGGGGCUGCAACUCGACCCCAUGAAGUUGGAAUCGCUAGUAAUCGCGGGUCAGCUAUACCGCGGUGAAUACGUUCUCAAGUCUUGUACACACCGCCCGU
rnacentral:rRNA from 1 species